CCUACGGGAGGCAGCAGUGAGGAAUAUUGGUCAAUGGGCGCAAGCCUGAACCAGCCAAGUCGCGUGAGGGAUGACGGUCCUAUGGAUUGUAAACCUCUUUUGUCGGGGAGCAAGGCCCGCCACGUGUGGCGGGAAGGAGAGUACCCGAAGAAAAAGCAUCGGCUAACUCCGUGCCAGCAGCCGCGGUAAUACGGAGGAAGCGAGCGUUAUCCGGAUUUAUUGGGUGUAAGGGGUGCGUAGGCGGAAGGUUAAGUCAGCGGUAAAAUGUCGGUGCUCAACACCGGCCUGCAGUUGACACUGGUCGUCUUGAGUGAGCGAGAAGUCUGCGGAACGCGAUGUGUAGCGGUGAAAUGCAUAGAUAUAACGCAGAACUCCGAUUGCGAAGGCAGCAUACCGGCGCUCAACUGACGCUGAGGCACGAAAGCGUGGGGAUCGAACAGGAUUAGAUACCCUGGUAGUC
rnacentral:rRNA from 1 species